ACUGUGGCUGCAAAUCCAGGGGCCUUCAGUAGACAUGACUGAGGCUCACUGUAACCACUGAUACCACUGGAGUGGGGAAAGCAGGGCCCCCAUCCCCUGAGACCUCCACCAAAACGCAGUGCUGGCCCUAAGGAGCUCUACCCCUGACUCAAGCUGUGCAGUUCAUCUGAGCUUAUGCUGGGCAGGUACAGGAGGCUGAACACGCCUUUCACCGCCUCAAGGUUCUGGGGCAGAAGCCUUCACCCAGCCCAUGUCUUUGGGGCUCCUGGAUGAGGAAGGGCCAUCAGCGCCCCUGAGAUGGCAUGUAGGGCCCAGGGACAGAGCCUGGGUACUAAAGGGGUUGGCCAGGACUUCUCCAAAUAUCAUCAUUUCUUGGAACCCUCAUCUCAGGAACCUCUUAGAUUGUGUCUGGUUCCUAUUUCACAAUCUAGAAGCAGAAACUGCCAGCCCUUUCUUCCCAUCACAGUCACUUCCUCUGACAUCACAGGAGAAAAGCCAGCAUUUCUUCACACAGAACAGAGUCUAGGGCUUCCUCAGGGCAACACUGGCACAGAGCAACCUCCAGGGACCAUGACAAUGCUGGUCUCUGCCACCCAGCCCCGCCUGCCUCUGCCUUCCUUGCUGCUGCCUCUGCUGCUAGGACUCACAGGAGUGACAGGUGAGCAGGAGCUGCAGGUGACUCAGCGUGAGACAUCGGUGUCAGUCGCAGCUGGAGAGGCGGUCACUCUGCCCUGCGACAUCUCCUCUCCGCAACCCGUGGGUCCCACCCAGUGGUUCAAGGGGAAUGGACCAGAUCGGCAGUUAGUCUACAGUUUCAAAGGAGGCCUAGACCGAGUACACCUCUUCCCCCGAGUAACGAAUGCUACAGACCCAACAAUAAGAGGCAACACGGACUAUUCCAUCCACAUCAGGAACAUCACCCCAGCAGACGCCGGCACCUACUUCUGUGUCAAGUUCAGGAAGGGGAGCCCUGAGGACGUGGAGUUUAAGUCUGGUCCUGGGACACAGUUGACUGUGAGUGGAGUGACAGGUGAGCAGGAGCUGCAGGUGACUCAGGGUAAGAAGUCGGUGUCAGUCGUGGCUGGAGAGGCGGUCACUCUGCCCUGCGUCGUCUCCUCUCUGCAACCCGUGGGGCCUGUCCAGUGGUUCAAGGGGAAUGGACCAGAUCGGCAGUUAGUCUACAGUUUCAAAGGAGGCCUAGACCGCGUACGCCUCUUCCCCCGAGUAACAAAUGUUACAGACGACACAAAGAGAAACAACUUGGACUAUUCCAUCCACAUCAGGAACAUCACCCCAGCAGAGGCCGGCACCUACUUCUGUGUCAAGUUCAGGAAAGGGAGCCCUGAGGACGUUGAGGUGAAGUCUGGUCCUGGGACACAGGUGACUGUGAGUGACCCAGAGCAGUCAACUCUAUGCGUCCUCCUCGGAGGCCUACCCCUAGGCCUCAAGGUGCUGCUAGUGGUUGUUGUCUCUGCCAUCUAUGUCUACAUGAAGCAGAGGGCCUGAAUCUACUUCUUUCUUCACAUGAAGGCCCAGCCUGAGGGAAGGUGCCAGAUGAAAGCUUCCUCAGAUUCUGCUCCAUGUGUCUCUUUGCUCCUCACACCUGCCUGCCCACACCCUUCUGUGGUCCCUUCUCAAAGUCCUUGGUUACUCCAGGGCCAGGUCCUGGGAACUGGCUCUGAGGACUGACUCACCCCCACUUCCCCUAGAAUAUGAGAAAAAUUCAAGUUUCCUAAACAUAUCAAGAUAUGUCUCAUCUGCUGGUCUGUGACUCGGCCAUAAACCACAUACUCAAGUCUGUGAAGUCAACAAUUCUUCUGGCCUUUUGGAUUCCUGCCAACCCCUGACUCCCCAGGCUUGCCUCCUGAACAUAAAUGGACCCCUAACUCUAUUUAAAAAAGAAAAACUAUUUUCCUCUCCCUCUUAGCCCAAGUGUCCUACUCCUCAAACUCAGAAGAAGUUUUCCCUCCACUUUCUGUGAUGGGAACACUAGUUCUUAUAUCAUCCUUUACCCUCCCCUAUCCUGUUGCUCAUGGUGCACGUGCUGUGACCAUCCAAAAACUUUUUAUACUCCAUAUUCAGUUCUGCCUUCAAAAUGUUUAUAUGCAGGUGGCAACAGACUUAUAAAUGUUAAACGACUGUCCAAAACAAAAAUCCUGAUUUGUAGUAUUUGCCAAUUUCUGUGAUGUAAAUAUUCCCACCAGGCCAACUUCAAACUACUAACAGUUUAGCAACCAGACUGAAAAAUUCCUGAAAUUUUAACAAUCAGCUGUCAUGAACCAGUACGAGCCACUCCAGUACACCAGUGAUUAUAUCCAUCAUCUCUACACCUCACCUCCGCCACUACUCCCUGGUCCCAGCCACCAUGAUCUCUUCCUGUAUCAUUGCUACCCUAUAACUGGCUUCUCUCUUUCAGGCUUUGCUCUUAAAGAAGCUAGAAUGAUUCUUAGGAAACAUGAGUCAUAUCAUAUCUUUCCUCUGCUUCUUCUCAGACAUAUCUGCCUGGCUCACUCCCUCCUUUCUUUCAAGUCUCUGCUUAAAUGUCACUUUAUUAAAUAAAGACACUUUCUGUAAACCGCCUUAUGUAAAAUAUCAAUUCCCCCUCUCACUUGGCAUUUCAAUUCCUCUUAGCCUAAUUAAUGUUUGUCAUAGCACUAUUACCAUCUGACAUACUAAAGAUGAGCAGCCUUCUGCAUGGUAGUUGCAGGAUCAAAAAAAUGACCAUAUAAAUUGAAACCAUGGAAAGUGGUCUCAAAAAUCGAUGAAAAAAAUGAUUGUUCAAUGACCUUUAAAUUUUUUCUGUCAAAACAUUAAAAACUUUGUCAGUUAUAGAUUCAUUUAAAAAAACAAAACAAAACAAAACCCAUUGCAUCGAGAAGAUCCUGACUCAAGAAGACCCCAUGUAUUACAAAGUAGUACUGUUCAAGGCAGUUUACCAAAGAAGACAUUCAGGCUGCUAACAGAUACAUGAGGAAACGCUCACGAUCGUUAGCUAUUAGAGAAAUGCAAACCAGAACUACAAUGAGAUUCCAUCUCACUCCGACAAGGCUGACAUUAAUCCAAAAAACAUAAAAUAAUAAAUGUUGGAGAGGUUGUGGAGAGACUGGAACACUUAUACACUGCUGGUGGGAAUGUAAAAUGGUACAACCACUUUGGAAAUCGAUUUGGGGCUUCCUUAAAAAGCUAGAAAUAGAUCUACCAUAGGACCCAGCAAUUCUACUCCUUGGAAUAUAUCCUAAAGAAAUAAGAGCCUUCACACAAACAGAUAUAUGCACACCCAUGUUCAUUGCAGUGCUGUUUACAAUAGCAAAAAGAUGGAAGCAACCAAGGUGCCCAUCAAUGGAUGAAUGGAUAAACAAAUUAUGGUAUAUUCACACAAGGGAAUACUACACAACGAUUAAGACCAAAGAUGAAUCUGUGAAACAUUUCAUAACAUGGAGGAAUCUGGAAGGCAUUAUGCUGAGUGAAAUUAGUCAACUGCAAAAGGACAAAUAUUGUAUGAGACCAUUAUUAUAGAUAAACUUCAAACACAGAAGAAAAUAUUAUUUGAUGGGUAAGAGGGUGGGGAGGGAGGGAGAAGGAUAUUCACUAAUUAGAUAGUAGACAAAAGUUUUUUUAGGUGAAGGGAAGGGCAACACGUAACACAGGGAUAGUCAGUACAACUGGACUAAACCAAAAGCAAAGAAGUUUCCUGAACACAACCAAACGCUUGGGAGGCCAAAGUAGCAGGAAUGGGGGUCUGGGGACCAUGAUUUCACUGGACAUGUAGGUCAAUUGGCAUAACAAAAUAUAUUAAGAAAACGUUCUGCAUCCCACUCUGGUGAGAGGUGUCUGGGGUCUUAAACGUUAGCAAGUGGCCAUCUGAGAUGCAUCAACUGGUCUCAACUCACCUGGAGCAAAGGAGAAUGAAGAACACCAGAGACACAAGGAAAAUAUGAGCCCAAGAGACAGAAAGGGCCACAUAAACCAAAGACUCCAUCAGCCUGAGACCAGAAGAACUAGAUGGUGCCUAGCUACCACAGAUCACUGCCCUGACAGGGAACACAACAGAGAAUCCCUGAUGGAGCAGGAGAACAGUGGGAUGCAGAUCUCAAAUUCUCAUAAAAAGACCUGGCUUAAUGGUCUGAGACCAAAGGGACCCUCAUGGUCAUGGUCCCCAGACCCUUUGAUAGCCCAAGAUUCGAACCAUUCCCAAAACCAACUCUACAGAUAGGGACUGGCCUGAACUAUAAGAUAGACAAUGAUGCAGGUGAGGAGUGAACUUCGUGGCUGAAGUAGACACAUGAGACUAUGUGGGUGACUCCUGUCUGGUGGUGAGAUGAGAAGAGGAGGACAGGAGCUGGUUGAAUGGACGUGGGGAACACAGGGUGGAGAGGAGGAAUGUGCUGUCUCAUUAAGAGGAGAGCAGCUAGGAGUACACACAGCAAGUUUGUCCCUCAGGAGGAGGCAGUGGGGAACCAAUCACAGCAACCAGCACCUGGCUAUGGAUGCUUGGACAUUAAAAGGUCAACAACUGAGUGUAGUCUGAGAGUCCCUGGACACCACCUUUGUGCUUGAGUAGAGCCCAUUCCAAAGAGCACAGAGUCCCGGGCCUUUCCAGGGCAGACAGAGCAGACUCCUGAGGCCACCAUGAUGUCCAUCCCUAACUCCCCGCCCCAUCCACCUCUGCUGCCUCUGUUGCUGGGACUCAUAGGUAAGUGCGGGCCUCAGGCUGUGUGUGUGGGGAGCCCCCUGCCCCUUUAGUGUGUUCUUCUCACCUGUUGUCCUAGGCUUAUUACUGGAAAUCUAACCCCUUUCCAGAAAGGCAGAAUUAAGGGACUCAGACUGGGAUGUCUCCCACAUUGCAAAAUCUUUCAUGGCUAUGUCUGUUCCAUGUUCCCUUAUUCAAUUAUGGACACAUCCCCUUGGUUACAGCGUUGAGCACAGCACACAGCGUAUAUUACAGCUCCUGUCCCCCAGUCCCUGACCCCAGCUAUCACAUUAUAUCAGAGCUUCCUGGGAACAGAAGAUACGUCUUUUAAAUUAAUUGUCUUUGUUGUUGUUAGUUCCUUUCUAGUUGAUUCUGACUCAUGGCAAAUGACUCCAUGUGUGCAGAGUAGAGCUCCUCCAUAGGGUUUUCAAGGCAGCGACCAUUCAGAUGCAUAUCACCAGGCACCUCUGAGUGGGUUUGAACCAUGAACUUUUGGCUAGUAGUUGAGUGCUUAACUGUAUGUACCACCCAAAUGCUACUUGUACAAUGUAGAAAAAUGUUUGAAAAUGUGAAAUUACACACCAAGGAAAUAAUCCACAACGCCUUCACCCAUAAAUAUUCUAUGUUAAAAUGUUGCAGAGGCUUGAGUGCUCACAGAUCACUUUGCCAGAGGGGGUCAGUAUAGAAGUCUGUCCAGGUCAAUGACAGGGCUAAGCCCCAUAGGCUCCCCUAUAGGCUACUUACUGCGUCUUCCCAGUUCUGCCUCUGCUUACUACAAAAGCUGAAUAAGCCUGUGUUUUCUCUUCCCCAAGUCCAUUGGUCUGCGUUUGGCAGAGGUGUUGAGUUCCAGUUGCCACAGUGCACAACUUCAGGGAUUCAGACCAGAUGAAAUAGGAAGCAAGAACAUUAUCUAAGUAUGAGGAAGGAGGAUGUUUGAGGAAGAGUAAAAAAUAUUAGACAUCCAGUGCGACUGGAGAAUUUUACAAAAAAAUUAAAGAAUAUCAAUUUGACCCAGUCUCUUCCAGAAAAUAGAAAAGGAGAAAACACUUCUAAACUCAUGAGGUCAGUAUUAUCUUGAGACAAAAAUCAGACAAAGAAUCCAAAAGAGAACAGAAAACUACAGACCAAUAUAUCUCAUGAACUUAGAUGCAAAAAUCCUUAAUAAAAUAUUGGCAAAUCAAAUCAAGCAGUAUAAAAAGAAUUCUAUACCAUGACCAAGCGGAAUUUAACCCAGGCAUGCAAGGGUAUUUCAACAUGUGAAAAUCAGUCAUUGUAAUCUUCCAAAUCAACAGGCUAAAUUAAUAUAUAUAUAUGAUCACAUCAAUUAAAGCAGAUAAAGAAUUUUACAAAAUUCAUCACCCAUUCAUGAUUAAAAAAACUCUCAACAAACUAGGAAUAGAGGAGAACUUCCUCAAUUUGAAAAAGAGCAUCUACGAAAAUCCUACAGCUAACAUCAUACUUAAUGGUGAAAGACUCAAUGCUUUCCCCCUAAGACUGGGAACAAGACAAAGAAGUCCAUUCUCAGGACUCUUAUUCAAUAUAGUGCUGGAAGUCCCAGCCACUGCAAUGACGCAAGAAAAAAGAAAUAAAACUGAUAUAGAUUUAAAAACCAAACCUGUUGCCUUUGAGUCAAUUCCAACUCAUAGUGACUCUAUGGCAAACCUAUAGGACAGAGUAGAACUGCCCCAUAGCAUUUCCAAGGAGCAACUGGUAGAUUAUAACUGCUGACCUUUUGGUUAGCGGUCGAACUGUUAACCGCUGCAUCAUUUCUCCCAUAUAGAUUAGAAAGGAAGAAAUAAAACUGUCUCUAUUUGCAGAUAACAUAAUUGUCUACACUGAAAAUUUCAAGGAAUCUAUUAAAAAGUCUCUAGAGCCAAUAAGUGAGAUAAGCAAGGUGGCACAGUACAAGAUGAACAUACAAAUAUCAAAUGCAUUUCUAUAUAUUAAAAACAAACAUGUGAAAAACAAUACUAUUUACAACUGCUCCAAAGAAAAUGAAAUAGUUAGGAACUAACUUAAUCCUAAAAAAUGUAUAGGAUUUGAGUGGUGAAAAUUACAAAAUGCUGAUGAAACAAAAGAAGAUUUAAAUAAAUGGAAAGAUAUAGUGUGUUUUUAACAUACUAAAGAUGUUCAUUUUCCCCAAAUUGAUCUAUAUGUUUUAUGCAGUUCCUAUCAAAAUACAAGCAAUAAGACAAUGUGGUGUUCACAGUGGGAUAGAAACAUAGAUCAAUGGUACAGAAUAGAGAACCCACAAGUAGAGUCACACAAAUAUGCCAACUGCUUCAUUACAAAUGUGCAAAACCAAUUCAAUGGAAGAAGAUUAGAGAUUUCAACAAAUGAUUCUGGCAUGAUUGGACAACCAUAUGCAAAAAAAUGAGCUUCAGUCUAAAUUGCAGUUUAUGUAUAUAACAGUCCAUAAAGAAAAAAGCUGAUAAACUGGUCUUCAUCAAAAUUAACAACUUUAGUUCUGCAAAAGACCUUGUUAAUCAGAUAAAAAUACAAGUUAUGGACUGGAGAAAAAAAUUGCAGACCAAUUAUCCAACAAAUGAUUUGUAUCUCAAAAAUAUAAAGAGCUCUCAAAACUUAAGAGUAAAAAAAAAGAAAGAAAAGAAAUCCAAUUAGAAAAUGGACAAAAAGCAUGAAAAAGGUAUUUCAUCGUAUAAGAAAUACAGAUAGGAUUUAAAUACAUGAACAGAUAUUCAACAUCACUAGCCCUUAGGGAAAUGCAAAUUAACCACGGUGAGAUAUCACUACACACCCACUGGAAUGGCUAAAAUAAACAUGGUAACACCAAAUACAAGACUUUUGAGAAACUGCAUCACGCAGACAUUGCUGAUGAGAAUGUAAAAUGAUAAAGCCACUCUGGAAAACAAGUUAGCAGCUCCUUAAAAAUUAAACACACGCAGCUACUAUAUGACACAGCUAUUAUACUCCUGGGCAUUUAUCCCAGAGAAAUGAAAACUUAUGUUCACAUAAAAACCUGUACACAAACAUUUAUAGUGUCUUUACUCAUAACAGCCAGAAGCUGGAAACAACCCAGACGUCUUUCAACAGAUGACUAGAUAAUCUAUGGUACCUCCAUAUUAUGAAGGCAACGGGUUUUUUUUUUUUUUCUAUAUUACGUAAUACUACUCAGCAAUAAAAAACAACAAACUAUUAAGACAUGGAACAACUUGGAUGGAUCUUUGUGGAAUUAUUAAGAGUGAAGAAAUCCAAUCACUAAAGGUUACAUACUUAAUAUUUCCUUUCUAUAACAUUCUUGAAAUGACAAAAUUACAGAAAUGGAGGACAGGUUCCUUGGUGGCACGAAUGGCUAAGUACUCGACUACUAGCCUAAAGGUUUGUAGUUUGAACCCUCCCAGAGGCACCUCAGAAGACACGUCCAGUGAUCUGCUUCCAAAAUUUCACAGCCUUGAAAACCCUAUGGAGCAGUUCUCCUCUGCAUAUGUGGGGUCACCAUGAGUCAAAGCUAACAACGACAAAAGGACAGAGGAGGGGGGAAGUGGGUGUGGUUAUAAAAGGGCAACCUGAAGGUUCUUGUGUCUAUAGACUGUUCUAUAUUUUGAUCGUAGUACACUUGUGAUGAAAUUGCACAGAAUGAAAUACACACACCCACAUACAAUCACAAAUGAGUGCAAAUAAAACUGAGUAAAUCUGAAGAGGACCAGUGAAUUAUAUUCUGAUUGUGAUAUUGUACUGUAGUUUGGCAAGAUGUUACUUUUGAAGAAACUUGAGUACAAGUUCACAAGAUCUAUUAUUUCUUACAACUGCAUUUGUAUCUACAAUAUCACAAAAUAAGUUUUAAAAACUGCAGUUAGUUUAGUAUAGACUCUCAAAGCAGUUCUUUAUAAAUCAUAUAUGCAAGUUGUCUUAGGCUGGGUUCUCUAGAGAAGCAAAAUCAGUGAAGCAUAUAAAUAUCUACAUAAAGAGAUUUGUAUCAGGGAAAUGGCUCACACAGUUGUAGAAGCUGGAACGUCCCAAAUCCGUAGGUCAAGCUGGAGGCUUCUCUUGAUUCAUGUAGCCCAAGGGGCUGGGGAACCCAAGAUUGGUAGGUCAGACAGCAGGGCUCUUGCUCACAAACUGUGAAGACCAAUGAAUCCCAAAAUGGGCAAGCAAGACCGCAGGUAAGCUGCUAGCUCAAGUCUCAAGAUCCGGAGGUCAGAUGAACAGGAGCCAGCUGCAGGAUUCAGAGCAAGCGAAAGCCUGUGAACCUUGCCAGAGAGUCUACUUAUAUUUGAUGCAGGACACAUCCCCAAAGAAACUUCCUUUCAACUGAUUGGCUACUCACAGAAGAUCCCAUCAAGGAGGUGACCACAUUAUAUCAGAUCUCAUCAUGGAAGUGAUCAUCUCAUCAUCAAAAGACUGCCAAACUACAUCAUAACUGCCAAACCACUGAGAAUCAUGGCCCAGCCAAGUUGACACACAAUGUUAACAAUUUCAGUGCACCCCUUGACAACUUGAUACCUGUACACAUCUCCUUAAACCAUACAUAAUCUCUGAAUAAAGACAAUUAUAAAGUCAUACUUGAGCCUAACAUGAUAAAACACACAUACAGCUGAAACACACUAACCCUGUUUACAUUUUAUAUUUUAUAAGUGAAGAAAACAAAAAUAUUUGAUACACACACACAAGGCAGAAAUACUCAUAGCAAUUACAGUCCUCAUUUCUGCAACUGGUCAUGUGGUUGUAACUCAUAUUUAGAACUACCAUCUCCAACCACCCAUUCCAUAUUCUCUUUGCCCUCAGCAAGCACCUCAGCUGAUUGUGGUUCUUUGCCUGGUGGGAUGACCCAAACUUUCAUUCCUGAAGGGUCAGGGCCAUUAGUAGUAAUGUCAGAAUUGGGUUGCUGUAGUUUUCCAUUGACUUUAAUCACAGGGCAUGGUAGUACUAAGAGACAUCCUAUAGCAUCUGCAUUCCAGACAUACUCUUCUUUACCUCCUUUAUGUAAUAUCAAUCUGAUUUCCUACUGGUAAUCAGGAUCAAUCACAUCAGCCAAUAUGGUAAUUCCUUCUACGCCUGUUGAACCAGGCAUAAGGAUCCAAAGUGGCCAGGUGGCGUUCUUAACUUCCAAUUCAAUAGAAUCACAGGUGUGUCUCCAGAUGGGAGCGUUCCUCCCUUUGGAACUAAGACCUCUAGACCCACAGAGCAUAGGGUCACCAGCACAGGAAGCAAAAAUUUUGUAAGUGGAUCACUAGGGGUAAUAGUGGUAGUGCCACUCCCAUUUCCACCCCUUAAUUCCUGGACCCAUGAAUCCCAGCUAUGGGAGAAACAGCACCAUAUAUUGGACACUGGUUUAGAGAAUAUACAGCCUCCUCAAGAACAUUGCCCCAACCCUGCAAGGUAUUGCCACCUACCUGUGCCAUAAUUGUGUCUUUAGAAGUCCAUUCCAUCAUUCUAUCAAGCCAGUUGCUUCAGGAUGAUGGGGAACAUGGUAAGACCAGUGAAUUUCACAAGCAUGGGCCCACCACCGCAUUUUAUUUGCUGUGAAGUGAGUCCCUAGUUCCAAGGCAAUGCUGUGUGGGAUACCAUGACAGUGGAUAAGGCAUUCUGUAAGUUCACAGAUGGUAGUUUGGGCAAAAGUAUUGUGUGCAGGGAAGGCAAAUCCAUAUCCAGAGUGUCUAUUCCAGUAAGAACAACUCUGCCCUUUUCAUGAUGGAAAUGGUCCAAUAUAAUCAACUUGCCACCAGGUUGCUGGCUGAUCACCUUGAGAGAUGGUGCCAUAUAGGGGACUCAGAGUUGGUCUCUGCUGCUGGCAGAUGGGGCACUCAGCAGUGGCUGUGGCCAAGUAAGCCUUGGUGAAUGGAAGUCCAUGCUGUUGAGCCCAUGCAUAACCUCUAUCCCUGUGACCAUGGCCACUUUGUUCAUGAGCCUAUUGAGCAAUGACAGGAGUGGCUGGGGAAAGAGGAUGACUGCUUUCCACAGAACACAUCAUCUUAUCCACUUGAUUGUUAAAAUUCUCCUCUCUCGAGGUCAUCCUUUGGUGAGCAUUCACAUGGGACACAAAUAUCUUCACUUCUUUGACCCAUUCAGAGAGGUCUAUCCAUAUAUCUCUUCCCCAUACCUCCAUGUCUCUAAUUUUCCAAUCAUGUUCCUUCCAAGUUUGGGAUUGCAUUGGUCAUGGCCCAUGAAUCAGUAUACAAUUGUACAUCUGGCCUUAUCUUCUUCCAAGCAAAGUGAACAACCAGGUGCACUGCUCAAAGUUCUGCCCACUGGGAGGGUUUCCCUUCACCACUGUCCUUCAGGGAGGUCCCAAAAAGGGACCACAGUGCUGCUGCUGUCCCCUUUUGAGUGGUGCCUGCAUACUGCACAGAGCCAUCUGUAAACAUAUGAAUGGAUAAACAAAUUAUGGUAUAUUUACAUAAUGGAAUACUAUGCAAUGAAGAACAAUGAUCAAUCUGUGAAACAUUUCAUAACAUGGAAGAAUCUGGAAGGCAUUAUGCUGAGUGAAGCUAGUCAGUUGCAAAAGGACAAAUAUUGUAUGAGACCCUUUCUGUCUCUUGGGCUAAUAUUUUCUUCGCGUCUUUGGUGUUCUUCGUUCUCCAUUGUUCCAGAUGGGUUGAGACCAACUAAUGCAUCUUAGGUGGCUGCUUGCUAGCAUUUAACACUUCAAGCACCAUUGGAUCAGCUGGAUCAUAUGACUCAAGUGGCAGAGUGGCUUACACAGGAGCCUGAACCUGCUGCAGAGCCUUCAUUUGUUCUGGGUCCCAUUCAUAACUAGCAUCUUUUCAAGUCACUUGAUAAAUAGGCCAGAGUAGCACACCCAAAUGAGGAAUAUGUUGCCUCCAAAAUCCAAAGAGGCCCACUAGGCAUUGUGUCUUCUUUCUAGUUGUGAGAGGGCCCAGGUGCAAUAAUCUAUCCUUCUAUAUCCUCCCACAACUCUUCUGGUCUUCAGUCAUUAGUGUUCAGUGCACCGAAUCUAUUCUUGAGAUGGUCUCUAAAUUCAAGUGGAAUAUAUUCAAGGUCAUAUUUUGGCUCUCGUGGACAUGCUCUAAUGUUCUUCAGCUUCAGCUUGAACUUGCACAUGAGCAAUUGAUGGUCUGUUCUGCAGUCAGACCCUGGCCUUGUUCUGACCGAUGAUAUUGAGCUUCUCCAUCAUCUCUUUCCACAGAUGUAGUCAAUCUGAUUCCAGUGUAUUCCAUAAGGUGAGGUCCAUGUGUAUAGUUGCUCUUAAUGUUGCUGAAAAAGAUAUUUGCAAUGAAUAAGUCCUUAAAAAAAAAGUCUUCCAAAAUUCCUUCACACAAUCUCCAGCACCAUUUCUAUAACCAAGGCCAUAUUUUCUGACUACCAUUCCCCCUUCUUUGUUUCCAACUUUCACACUCCAAUCACCAGUAAUUAUCAAUGGAUCUUGAUUCCAUGUUUGAUGAAUUUCAGACUGCAAAAGUGGUAAAAAUCUUCAAUCUUCUUCAUCUUUCCCAUUAGUAGUUGAUGCAUAAAUCUGAAUAAUAGUCAUUGUCAUGGAUUGAAUUGUGCCCCCAAAAAAUAUCUGUCAACUUGGUUAGGUCAUGAUUCCCAGUAUUGUAUGAUUGUCUACCAUUAGAUCAUCUGAUGUGAUUUCCCUAUUUGUUGUAAAUCCUAUCAUUAUGAUGUAAUGAGAUGGAGUAGUGGCAGUUAUAUUGAUGAGAUCUACAAGAUUAGACAGUGUCUUAAGCCAAUCUCUUUUGAGAUAUAAAAGAGAGAAGCAAGCAGAAAAAUAUGGGGACCUCAUACCACAAAGAAAGCAUCCCCGGGAGCAGAGCACAUCCUUUGGACCUGAGGUUCCUGUGCUGAGAUGCUCCCAGACCAAGGGAUGGCAAAGACCUUCCUCCAGAACUGACAGAGAGAGAAAGCCUUCCCCUGGAGCCGGUGCCCUGAAUUCUGACGUCUAGCCUACUGGACUAUGAAAGAAUAAACCUUUUGUUAAAGCCAUCCACUUGUGGUAUUUCUGUUAUAGCAGCACUAGAUAACCAAGACACCCAGGAUUUCUGAUUCAAAAUGGCCAAUACCAGCCCAUUUCAGCUCACUAACGCCUAGGAUAUCGAUCUUUAUGAGUUUCAUUUCAUUUUUAAAAAAAUUGUGCUUUAAGUGAAAGUUUACAAAUCAAGUCAGUCUCUCACACAAGAACUUAUACACACCUUGCUAUGUAACCCGAGCUGCUCUCCUCCUAAUGUGACAGCAUACUCCUCUCUACCCUGUAAUCCCUGUGUCCGUUCAACCAGUUCCUGUCCCUCUCUGCCUUCUCAUCUCACCUCCAGACAGGAGAUGCCCACAUAGUCUCAUGUGUCUACUUGAACUAAGAAGCUCACUCCUGACCAGUAUCAUUUUCUGUCUUAUAGUCCAGUCCAAUCCCUGACUGAAGAGUUGGCAUCAGGAAUAGUUCCAGUCUUGGUGUAACAGAGGAUCCGGGGGCCAUGACCAUGAGGCUUGCAUCCCACUGUUCUCCCACUCCAUCACUCUCUGUUGUGUUCCCUGUCAAGGCAGUGAUCAGUGGUAGCUAGGCUCCAUCUAGUUCUUCUAGUCUCAGGCUGAUGAAGCCUCUGGUUUAUGUGGCCCUUUCUGUCUCUUGGGCUAAUAUUUUCUUCAUGUCUUUGGUGUUCUUCAUUCUCCAUUGUUCCAGGUGGGUUGAGACCAACUAAUGCAUCUUAGGUGGCUGCUUGCUAGCAUUUAAGACCCCAGAUGCCACACACCAAAGGGAGAUGCACAAAGUUUUCUUAAUACAUUUUGUUAUGCCAGUUGACCUAGAUGUCCUCUGAAACAAUGGUCCCCAGGUUCCGGUCCCUGCUACUCUGGCCUUUGAAGCAUCUGGUUGUAUUCAGAAAACUUCUUUGCUUUUGUCAUAGUCCAGGUGUGCUGACCUCCACCUGUAUUGUGUUGUCUUUUCCUUCACCUAAAAUAGAUCUUAACUACUGUCUAAUUAGUGAAUACCCGUCUCCCUCCCUCCCCAUCCUUAUAGCCAUCAAAGAGUAUUUUCUUCUGUGUUUAAACUUUUUCUUGAGUUCUUAUAAUAUUGAUCUCAUACAAUAUUUGUCCUUUUGCAACUGACUAGCUUCACUCAGCAUAAUGCCUUCCAGAUUCUUCCAUGUUAUGAAAUGUUUCACAGAUUCAUCGUUGUUCUUCAUUGCAUAGUAUUCCAUUAUGCAAAUAUACCAUAAUUUGUUUAUCCAUUCAUCCAUUGAUGGGCAUCUUGGUGGCUUCCAUCUUUUUGCUAUUGUAAACAGUGCUGCACUGAACAUGGGCGAGCAUAUACCUGUUCGUGUGAGGGCACUUAUUUCUCUAGGAUAUAUUCCAAGGAGUGGGAUUGCUGUAUCCUACGGUAGUUCUAUUUCUAGCUUUUUAAGGAAGCACCAAAUCAAUUACCAAAGUCAUUGUACCAUUUUACACCCCCACCAGCAGUAAGCGUUCCAGUCUCUCCACAACCUCCCCAACAUUUAUUAUUUUAUGUUUUUUUGGAUUAAUGCCAGACUUGUUGGGGUGAAAUGGUAUCUCAUUGUAAUUUUGAUUUGCAGUUCUCUAACGGAUAAUGAUCGCGAGCAUUUCCUCGUGUAUCUGUUAGCUACUGAAUGUCUUCUUAGUGAAGGGCCUGUUCAUAUUCUUUGCCCAUUUUCUAAUUGGGUUGUCUUUUUGUUGUUGAGUUGUUGCAGUAUCAUGUAGAUUUUAGAGAUCAACACUGAUUGGAUUCAUUGUAGCCAAAAACUUUUUCCCAGUCUGUAGGUAAUCUUUUUACUCUUUUGGUGAAGUCUUUGGAUGAGCAUAAGUGUUUGAUUUUUAGGAGCUCCCAGUUAUCUAGUUUCUCUUCUGGUGUUUGUGUAUUGUUAGUAAUUUUUUAUAUACUUUUUAGGCAAUGUAUUAGGGCUCUUAGCAUUGUCCCUAUUUUUUCUUCCAUGAUCUUUAUCAUUUUAGAUUUUAUUUUUAGGUCUUUGAUCCAUUUUUAGAUAGUUUUUGUGCAUGGUGUGAGGUAUGGGUCUUGUUUCAUUUUUUUGCAGAUGGAUAGCUGGUUAUGCCAGCAUUGUUUGUUAAAGACACUGUCUUUUGCCCAUUCAACAGACUUUGGGUCUUCAUCAAAUAUCAGCUGCUCAUAUGUGGAUGAAUUUACAUCUGGAUUCUCAAUUCUGUUCCACUGGUCAAUGCACCUGUGGUGGUACCAGUACCAGGCUGUUUUCACUACCGUGGCGGUAUAAUAGGUUCUAAAAUCAGGUAGUGUGAGGCCUCCCACUUUGUUCUUUUUCAGUAAUGCUUUACUUAUCUGGGGCCUCUUUCCCUUCCAUAUGAAGUUGGUGAUUUCUUUCUUCAUUUCAUUAAAAAAAAUGUCAUAGGAAUUUGGAUCGGGAUUGCACCUAUAGAUCACUUUGGGUAGAAUAGACAUUUUUACGAUGUUGACUCUUCCUAUCCAUGAGCAAGGUAUGUUUUUCCACUUCUGUAGGUCUUUUUUGGUUUCUUGCAGUAAUGUCUUAUAAGUUUUCUUUGUAUAGGUCUUUUAUGUCUCUGGUUAGGUUUACUCCUAAGUAUUUUAUCUUCUUGGAGGCUACUGUAAAUGGUAUUGAUUUGGUGAUUUCCUCCUCAAUGUUCUUUUUGUUGAUGUAGAGGAAUCCAACUGAUUUUUGUAUGUUAAUCUUGUAUCCUGAUACUCUGCUGAACUCUUCUAUUAGUCUUGGUAGUUUUCUUGAGGAUUCUUUAGGGUUCUCCAUGUAUAAGAUCAUGUCAUCUGCGAAUAGAGAUACUUUUACUUCUUUCUUACCAAUUUGGAUGCCCUUUCUUUUUCUAGCCUAAUUGCUCUGGCUAGGACCUCCAGCGCAAUGUUGAAUAAGAGUGGUGAUAAAGGGCAUCUUUGUCUGGUUCCCAUUCCCAAGGGGAAUGAUUUCAGACUCUCUCCCUUUAGGAUGAUGUUGGCUGUUAGCUUUGUGUAAAUGCCCAUUAUUACGUUGAGGAAUUUCCCUUCUAUUCCUAUUUUGCUGAGAGUUUUUAUCAUGAAUUGGUGUUGGACUUCAUCAAAUGCCUUUUCUCCAUCAAUUGAUAAGAUCAUGUGGUUCUUAUCUUUUGCUUUAUUUAUAUGAUGGGUUACAUUGAUUGUUUUUCUAAUGCUAAAUCAUCCCUGCAUAUCUGGAAUGAAUCCCACUUGGUCACAGUGAAUUAUUUUUUUGAUAUAUUGUUGAAUUCUAUUGGCUAGAGUUUUGUAGAGGAUUUCUGCAUCUAAGUUCAUGAGGGAUAUAGGUCUGUAAUCUUGCUUUUUGUUGUUGUUGUUGUUUGUUUUUUUGUGGUCUCUUUACCUGAUUUGGGGGAUAUGCUGGCUUCAUAGAACGAGUUUGGGAGUGUUCUGUCCUUUUCUAUGCUCUGAAAUACUUUUCAUAGUAGCGGUGUUAACUCUUCUCUGAAAGUUUGGUAGAAUUCUCCAGUGAAGCCACCAGGGUCAGGGCUUUUCUUGGAAGUUUUUUAAAUUACCUUUCCAUCUCUUCUUUUGUUAUAGGUUUAUUUAGUUGUUCUACCUCUGUGUUAGUUUAGGUAGGUAGUGUGUUUCUAGAAAUUUGUCCAUUUCCUCUAAGUUUUCAAAUUUGUUAGAGUAUAAUUUUUCAUAAUAAUCUUAUAUGAUUCUUUUAAUUUCAGUUGUGUCUGUUGUGAUAUUGCCCGUCUCAUUUCUUAUUUGGGUUAUUUGCUUCGUCUCCUGCUUUUGUCAGUUUUGCCAAUGGUUUAUCAAUUUGGUUGAUCUUUUCAAAUGACCAGUUUUUGGUCUUGUUAACUCUUUCAAUUGUUUUUCUGUUCUCUAUUUCAUUUAAUUCUGCUCUAAUUUUUAUUUGCUUUCUUCUGGUGCCCAAGGGCUUCUUUUGUUGCUCUCUAUUUGCUCCAGGUGUAGGGAUAAUUCUUUGAUUUGGGCCCUUUCUUCUUUUGGGAUGUGUGCAUUUAAUGCCAUAAAUUGACUUCUGAGCACUCCUUUAGCUGUGUCCCAGUUCUGAUAGGAAGUGUUUUCAUUCUCAUUGGAUUCUAUGAAUGUCUUUAUUCCAUCCUUAAUUUCUUCUAUAACCCAGUAGUUUUUGUUCAGUUUCCAUGUGUUUGAUUUCUUUUCCCUGCUGUUUGUUAUUGAUUUCUACUUUUAUGGCUUUAUGGCCAGAAAAAAAUGCAUUGUAAUAUUUUGAUGUUUUGGAUUCUGUUAAGGCUUGCUUUAUGACUAUGUGGUCUAUUCUGGAGAAUGUUCCAUGUGCCCUGGAAAAGAAAGUAUGCUUGGCUGCUGCUGGGUGGAAUGUUCUGUAUGUCUAUGAGCUCAAGUUGGUUGAUUGUGGCAUUUAGAUCUUCCGUGUCCUUACUGAGCUUCUUUCUGGCUGUUCCAUCUUUCACCAAAAGUGGUGCGUUGAACUCUCCUACUAUUAUUGUGGAGCUGUCUAUCUCUCUUUUCAAUGCUGUUAGAGUUUGUUUUAUGUAUCUUAAAGCCCUGUCGUUGGGUGCAUAAAUAUUUAUUAUGGUUAUAUCCUCCCGGUGUAUGGACUUUUUAAUCAUUAUUUCAUGUCCUUCUUUAUCCUUUGUCGUGGAUUUUACUUUAAAGUCUAUUUUGUCAGAAAUUAGUAUUACCGCUCCUGCUCUUUUUUGAUUGUUGUUUGCUUGAUACAUUUUUUCCAUCCUUUGAGUUUUAGUUUGUUUGUGUCUUUAAGUCUAAGGUGUGUCUCUUGUAGGCAGCAUACAGACGGACCAUGUUUUUUAAUCUAUUCCACUACUCUCUGUCUCUUUUGGUGCAUUUAGUCCAUUUACAUUCAGCAUUAUUAGGGAUAGGUAUUUUUUUUUUAUGAGUUUAGUGCUGUCAGUUUGAUGUCUUUUUUGUGUGUUGUUGACAGUUUCUUUUUUCCACUUAAUUUUCUGUGCUGAGCAGUUUUUCUUUAUAAAUUGUCUUUUCCUCUUUCAUUGUUGUUGAUAUUGUAUUUGCUGAGUCUCUAUGUUUUUCUUGUAUUUUAUUUUGAUGUGUAGGAUUGUUAGUAUCCUUUGUGGUUACUUUAAUAUUUACCCCUAUUUUUCUAAGUUUAAGCCAAACUUUUGUCUCUUUAUAUCACCUUGACUUCCUCUCCAUAUGAAAGAUCUAUGACUACAUUUUUUAAAGGCCCUCUUUAUUGAUUUAAUGUUGUCAUCUUUUACAUAAUAACAUCACUGUUUCCCUGUUUUGAGCAUUUCUUAUCUUGAUUUAUUUUUCUGAUUUCCCUGUCUUGUUUGAUAUCUGGUUGCUCUGUCCUGUGUUCUAGCCUUGGGUUGUUAUCUGAUGUUAUUGGUUUUCUAACCAGAGGACUCCCUUUAGUAUUUCUUAUAGUUUUGUUUUGGUUUUUGCAAAUUCCCUAAACUUCUGUUUAUCUCGAAAUGUCCUAAUUUCGCCUUCAUAUUUGAGAGACAGUUUUGCUGGCUAUAUGAUUCUUGGCUGGCAAUUGUUUUCCUUCAAGGUUUUAUGUAUGUCAUCCCAUCGCCUUCUUGCCUACAUGGUUUCUGCUGAGUAGUCCGAGCUUACUCUAAUUGACUCUCCUUUGUAGGUGACUUUUCAUUUAUCCCUAGCCGCUCUUAAAAUUCUCUCUUUAUCUUUGGUUUUGGCAAGUUUGAUUAUUAUAUCUCUUGGUGACUUUCUUUUGGGAUCUACCUUGUAUGGGGUUUGAUGAGCAUCCUGGAUAGGUAUCUUCUUGUCUUUCACAAUAUCAGGGAAGUUUUCUGCCAACAAAUCUUGAACGAUUCCUCCUGUAUUUUCUGUUCUCCUUCCCCAUUCUGGUACUCUGAUCACCUGUAGUUUAUUUCUCUUGAUUGAGUCUCACAUGAUUCUUAUGGUGUCUUCAUUUUUUAAAAUUCUUUUAUCUGAUUUUUCUUCAACUGUAUUGGUACCUCAUGUUUUAUCUUCAAUCUCAUUAAUUCUGACUUCCAUUUCCUCAAUUCUGCUCCUCUGAUUUUCUAUUGAGUUGUCUGAUUCUGAAAUUUUAUUGUUAAUCUUCUGAAUUUAUGUUUUCUCUCUAUGUUUUCUUUGAGCCUAUUAAAUUUGUCAUUAUGCUCUUGAAUAACCUUCUUAAUUUCCUCCACUCAUUUAUCUGUGUGCUACUUGACUUGUUCAGUGUUUUGCCUGAUCUCCUUCCUGAUCUCUUGAAGAGUUCAGUAUAUUAAUCUUUUGUAUUCUACCCCUGGUAAUUCCAGGAAUAUCUCUUCAUCCAGAAGAUUCCUUGAUUCUUUUGGGGGGGAGCUUGUUGACGUGAUCAUGGUCUGCUGCUUUAUGUGAUUUGAUGUUGACUGUUGUCUCCGAGCCAUCUAUAAGUUAUUGUAUUAAUUUAUUUUAUGUUUCCUUUCUGUGUCCUAGCUUCUUGCUUUGUUUUGUUUUGAUAUGCCCAAAUAGGCUGCUCUAGUGAGCUAGUUUGAUUAUUGGUACCUUUGGAACUCUAACGUCCAGUCACCAGAUGGCUAGAGCUGUUACCAGGUACAUGAUCCCUGGAGUCCAUUCACUUUUCUUGUAUGAAUUCAGCUCAGGUGUCCAGAUAUUCAGUCACCAAGUGUAUGGUGCAGACUGUCACCUACAGUCUUAGAGGAGUAGGGGUGAUUGGUGUAAGCACAGGCAUCUGGGUGCAGCAGGGGGUCACACUCUGAGCAAGGCAGGGGGCUGACAACUGUACCCAAUGUGUCUUGAGGAAAGCAUGUCCCUGUUCCCUGGAGCACAUAGAUGGGUGCGCUCUGCAGCUGAACCACGGCACCCAAUGCGUUUGGUUGUAAGGACUGGGAGGUACCACUUAUCCUUGGAUCCUAUCGCGGGUAGCUAGGUGGUGUGGGUGGAGCUACCAGGCUUCAGGCCCCUGAUGUGGGUAGGUGAGGGCCCUGCUUAAUAGGCACAGUGCUGUCAAAUGUCAAAAACCCGCCUCCCCAUCACACAACUGAAACAACUGAAGUCAGACUUCAGGCACAUACACCAUUGCACUGUGCAAACAAGGGCCUAAGCUCCUAAAAUGAGCGCACACAGGUCCAUGCAGGGGUGAAAGGCAUUCAAAGUGUGUGGACUGCUUAUGUCUGUCCCCAGGCAAUGGUGCCACUUCUGCCCUGAGUUCCUAGCUUAGGGGAACCACCUGAUUAUUUUUCCCCAUUUGUUAAUUUUCUCCAUCUCCAAUGACCGGAGAAUGGCUCAGGAUGCACAGCAGGACCUAUCUUAGGCCCAGUGAAAGCAACCGCUACUGAAGCUGGUUCAGGGAAUGGAGCAGAGGGAGGAGGGAGCAGAUAAAUGGGAAAGAGUUCUUUCAAAAGGGGUGCUUUUUGUUCCAUGAGGUAAAUUAGAUGCAAGUACUUAUCUUUUGUCAAGAGCACUGUUCUUCAGUGAUCCUGGGAAGUGUGAGUAGACUCUAUGCUGUUCGCUCUGUCCCACCGAGGAAACUGCAUCCCAGAUGCUACUGCCAACCUUUCCACAGUCAUGCCAGGGAUCAAGCCUGCAGGGCACCGGUUCCCACCGAGUCAGGUCGGGCAACUCCUUGCUGCUUCUGAACCAUCUCUCCCUCCCCCUGCCACUCAGUCUGAUUUCUUAACUUUUCCUUUGAUGUUCAGGUCUCCUAGUUUGUCAUAUAUAUAAUCAAUUCACUUGUUUUUUUGGGUCUUUGUUGUAAGAGGGACUACCGGAUGCAUCUGACUACUCUGCCAUCUUGGCCCUGCCUCCUCCCAUUUCAUUUUUAACAACUUCCAAUUUUCCAAGAUUCGUACUUCGUACAUUCAUGUUCUGAUUAUUAGUGGAUGUUUGCAGCUGUUUCUUGUCAUUUUGAGUUGUCACCUCACCAAAUGAAGAUCCCAAAAGCUAGAUUCCAUUCAUGUCAUUAACGUCAACUCUACUUUGAGGAGGCAGCUCUUCCCCAGUCAUAUUUGAGUGCCUUCCACCCUAAGGGGCUCAUCUUUCAGCACUAUACCAGACAAUAUUCUGCUGCUACUCAUUAGGUUUUCCCUGGCCAGUUUUUUCAGAAGUAGACUACCAGGUUCAUCUUUCUAGUCUGUCUUAGUCUGGAAGCUCUGCUGAAACCUGUCCACCAUAGGUGUCCCUCCUGGUAUUUAAAAUACUGGUGGCGUAGCUUCCAGCAUCACAGCAACACAAAAGCCACCACAGUAUGACAAACUUACAGUAAUCUUUAGAUUACUUAUAAUACCUAAUAUAAUGUAAAUGCUAUAUAAACAGCUAUUUCAUCACAAUUGAAGACUUGCUCUGGAAGGUAGCCUUUCUCUUGUAUGAGUUUCUUGAGCUCUUCUGAGAAUGCUGAUACUGCCUGAGUACCAGCAGAUGCCAAUUUUCCUGUGAUCUUGAAGUCUUGAGGCUGUACUGCUUUACAGAGCUAGUCAGCCAUUCCCGACUAGCCUGAAGGUCCUUUCUCUUGCUCUCCUCAACCGCCUCAUACUUAGACUUUAAGGGAUUGCUCUGACCACUUAAUUGCUUUUUAGGAGCCAUUUUUUUCACAGAAACAAAGGGUGCACACAACACAAGCAGCGAACAAAUGAGAUGUGAGGUGAACAAUGCUCAAAGGAGUGCUGGAGGGAAACUGAGGAUCUAUGAAAUGGCAGAAGGGACAGUUGAGUACACCUACAUAUCAUUUAAUUCAAAUGGAUUCAGUGUACUGCUCAGUGUGUGGCAAAUUCAGGUUUUGCUUUGGGAACUUCCCUUUUUGUCUCGCCCCCCCCCAGCCCGCCACCACCUCGAAUAUUUCCAAUCCACGAAUACGGAGGGCUGAUUGUAUACAGUGGUAGACUUAAAAAUAUUUAACAAUGACUGUCCAAAAGGAAAAGAAAGAAAAAGCUAGAUCUGUAGCAUUUGCCAAUUUCUGUGGUGUAAGUAUUCCCACCAUGGCCAACAUCAAGCAACUAAGAGUUUAGCAGUCAGAUUGAAAAUUUAACAAUCGGCUUUCAUGAGCUAGUAAAAGCCACUCCAGCACACCACUGAUUUAUAUCCAUCAUCUGUGCACCUCAGCUCCACCACUACUUCCUGGUCCCAACCACCUUCAUCUCUUCCUGGAUCUUUGCUACCCUCCAAUUGGCUUCCCUGUUUCAGCCUUUGUUCCUGAAGCAGCCAGAAUGAUUCUUAGGUAACCUGAGUCAGAUCAUGUCAUUUCUCUGCUUCUUCUCCAACUUAUCUGCCUGGCUCACUCAUUCCCUCUUGUCAAGUCUCUGCUUAAACGUCACUUUGUAUGAUCAUUUAAAGGCACCUUCUGUAAAUCACCCUAUAUAAAAUGUCAACUUCCCCUCUCACCUGGAGUUUCAAUUCCUCUUAACCUGAUUAAUUUUUUGUCAUAGCACUAUUACCAUCUGGCAUACUAAAUAUGAACAGUCUUCACUUUGCAUGGUAGGUGUGGGACUGUAAAAAUGACCAUGCAAAUUGAAACCAUGAAAAGUAAUCUUAAUAAUCAAUGGGAAAAAUAACGAUUGCUGAAUGACCUUUAAACUUUUUGUUGAAACAUUAAAAGCUUUGUUACUGUCAGUUACAUAUGCAUAGAAAACCCAAAACCAACCCCAUUGCAUUGAGUUGAUUCUGACUCAUGGUGACCCCAUGUGCUACAGAGUAGAACUGCUCCAUAGGGUUUUCUUGGCUGUAAUCUUUACAGAAGCAGUUCACCAGGCCUUUCUUCCAUGGAGUCACUGGAUGGGUUUGAACAGCCAACCUUUAGGUUAGCACCCAAUCACAAACAAGAUUAAAAAAAGAGAGAGAGAAGGCUCUUCCACUGGAAACCUCUGUGCUUUAGUUUGCUCAUCUGUAGAUAGGAUCUAAUGAAGGUUCCUAACUCACAGAGUUCUUAUGAUGAUUAAGUGAUUUAACAUAUAUAAACUAUGCAUAUAAAACCCAUUGCCCUCAAGUCAAUUCUAACUCAUAGUGACCCCAUAGGACAGAGUAAAACUGCCCCAUAGUUCCCAAGGCUGUAAUCUUUAUGCAAGCCAACUACAUCUUUCUCCCACAGAGUGGCUGGUAAGUUUGAACCUCUGGCCUUUCAGUUAGUAGCCAAGUGUACACUUAUCUCACCACCACCCAUCUGUCAGUUCAUCAUACUGUAGUGGCUUGUGUGUUACUAAGAUGCUGAAAGCUAUGCCACUGGUAUUUCAAGUACAAUCAAGGUCAUCCAUAGUUUAUAGGUUUCAGUGGAGCUCCCAGGCCAAGACAGACUAAGAAAGGCUUGAUGGUCUACUUACGAAAAUCAGCCAAUGAAAGCCUUAUGUCAAAACAGAACAUUGUUCAAUCCAACGAUUGUGAAGAUGAUGCAGGACUAGGCAGCAUUUCAUUCUGUUGUGCAUAGGGUAGCCAUGAGUCAGAGCUGACUUGGCAGCAACUGCUAACAAUAAACUUAGGCAACUGAGUCAAUCACUGUCUCAGAGGCUCAGUUUUCGCACCAAUAAAAUGGUGUUAAUUAUACCAACCUCCUAGGAUUGUAAAAAGGAUUGUAGCAAAGGUUAAAUUAAAUGACCACCAGGCCUUGAGGGCACAGAGUUGAUCAUUUUCAGCAGGGCCAGAUUAAGGCAAGUGAGGACCCUAAGCACUAAUAAUCCUCUGCUCGCUCAUGCAUUUGAAUUGGAUAUGCGAGUUAUAUAUAUACAAGCAUAUGUCUGUGUGUGUUAGCUAUCUAUUAUGUAACUUUUUAAAAAAUGUGACUAUAUUAGCAAUUGAAUGCAAAAAUGGCAUAAGCCAUUUUAGCAGAGUGAGAUGAACCAGAUUAUAUAAAAAAAAAUAAGCAUACCUUAUUUUACUGUGUUAGCUUUAUUGUGCUUCACAGACAUUGCAUUUUUCACAAAUUGAAGGUUUGUGAAACCUGCAUUCAGCAAGUCUAUUGGAGCCAUUUUUCCAACAGCAUGUGCUCACUUUGUGUCUGUGUCUCACAUUUUGGUAAUUCUCACAAUAUUUCAAAUGUUUUCAUUCAUUAUUAUAUUUGUUAUGGUGAUCUGAGAUCCAUGAUAUUUGAUGUUACUAUUUUUAUUGUUUUGGGGUGCCAGGAACCGCGCCCAUAUAAGAUGGUAAACUUUAUCAACAAAUGUGUGUUCUGAUGCUCCACCAACUGGCCAUUCCCCUGUCUCUCUCCUUCUCCUCAGGCCUUCCUAUGUCUUGAGACAUGACAAUCCUAAAAUUAGACCAGUUAAUAACCUUACAAUGGCCUCUAAGUGUUCAUGUGAAAGAAAGACUUGCAUGUCUCUCACUUUAAAUCAAAAGCUAAAAAUGAUUAAGCUUAGUAAGGAAGGUAUGUCAAAAGCUGAGACAGGCUGAAAGUUAGUCCUCUUGUACCAGUUAGCCAAGCUGUGAAUCCAAAGGAAAAGUUCCUGAAGGAAAUUAAAAGUGUUACUCCAGUAAACACAUGAAUGAUAAGAAAGGGAAACAGCCUUACUGCUGAUAUGGAGAAAGUUUUAGUGGGCGGGAUAGAAGGUCAAACCAGCCACAACAUUCCCUUAAGCCAAAGCCUAAUACAGACCAAGGCCCUAACUCUCUUCAAUUCUGUGAAGGCUGAGAGAGGUAAGGAAGCUGCAGGAGAAAAGUGUGAAGCUAGAAGAGGUGGUUCAUGAGGUUUAAGGAAAGAAGCCAUCUCCGUAACAUAAAAGUGCACAGUGAGACAGCAAGUGCUGAUACAGCAGCUGCAGCAAGUUAUCCAGAACAUCCAGCUGAGAUCGUUGAUGAACGUGCCUACACUAAACAACAGGUUCUCCAUAUAGACAAAUCAAAAACAAACUGCUGCUGUCGAGACGAUUCUGACUCAUAGCAAACUUAUAGGACAGAGCAAAACUGCCCCUUAGGGUUUCCAAGGGAUUCAAACUGGCAACUUUUUGGUUAGCAGCCAAGCUCUUUAACCACCAUGCCACUAGGGCUCCUCAAUGUAGUUAAAACAGUCUCAUAUUGAAAGAAGAUGCUAUCUAGGACUUUCAUAGCUAGAGAGGAGAAGUCAAUGCCUGGCUCCAAAGGACAGGCUGACUCUCUUGUUACGGGCUAACGCCGUUGGUGACUUUAAGAUGAAGACAAUACUCAUUACCAUUCUGAAAACCCUAAGGCCCUUAAGAAUUAUGCAAAAUCUACUCUAUCUGUGCUCUAUAAAUGGAACAACAAAGCCCAGAUGACAGCACAUCUGUUUACACCAUGGUUUACUGAAUAUUUUAAGACCACUGUUGAGACUUACUGCUCAGAAAAAAAAGAUUUCUUUCAAAAUAUUACUGUUCAUUGACAAUGCACCUGGUCAUCCAAGAGCUCUGAUGGAGGUGUCCAAGGAGAUUAAGGCUGCUUUCAUGCCUGCCAACACAACAUCCAUUCUGCAGCCCAUGGAUCAAGGAGUAAUUUUGACUUUUAAGUCUUAUUAUUUAAGAAAUACAUUUCACAAUAAUAAUAAUUUCACUAGGCUAUAGCCACCAUGGAUAAUGAUUCCUCUGAUGGAUCUGAACAAAGUAAACUGAAAACCUUCUGGAAAGGAUUCACCAUUCUAGAUGUCAUUAAGAACAUUCGUGACUCAUGGGAGGAGAUCAAAAUAUCAACAUUAACAGGAUUUUGGAAGUUGAUUUCAACCCUCAUAAAACCAAAACCAAACCCGUUGCCUUCAAGUCAAUUCUGACUCAUAGCGACCCUAUAAGACAGAGUAUAACUGCCCCAUAGAGUUUCCAAGCACUGCCUGGUGGAUUUGAACUGCCAACCUGUUAGUUAGCAGCCGUAGCUCUUAACCACUAUGCUACCAGCAUUUCCCCAACCCUCAUGGAUGGUUUUAGAGGGAUCAAGACUUCAGUGGAGGAAGUAACUGCAGAUGUGGUGGAAAAAACAAGUGAGCUAGAAUUAGAAAUGGAGCCUGAAGAUGUGACUGAAUUGCAGCAAUCUCCUCAUGAUAAAACAUUAAUGGAUAAGGAACUGCUUCUUAUGGAUGAACAAAGAAAGUUGUCUCUUGAGAUGGAACCUACUCCUGGUGAAGAUACUGUGAUAACUGUUGAAAUGACAAGAAAACAUUUAGAAUAUUAUAUAAAUCAGCAGCAGGGCUUGAGAGGAUUGACUCCAAUUUUGAAAGAAGUACUGUGGGUAAAAUGCUAUCAAACAGCCAUCACCUGCGACAGAAAAGUCUUUCAUGAAAGGAAGAAUCAAUUGAUGUGGCAAAAUUCACUGUCGUCUUAUUUUAAGAAAUUGCCACAGCCACUCCAACCUUCAGCAACCACCACCCUGAUCAGUCAGCAACCAUCAACACUGAGGCAAGACCCUCCACCAGAAAAAAGAUUACGACUUGCUGAAGGCUCAAAUGAUGGUUAGCAUUUUUUAGCAAUAAAGUAUUUUUUAAUUAAGGUAUGUACAUUUUCUUUUUAGACAUAAUGCUAUUGCACACUCAAUAGACUACUGUAUAGUGUACACAUAACUUUUAUAUGCACUGGGAAACCCUAAAAUUCAUGUGACUCACUUUAUUGUGAUAUUCACUUUAUUGUGGUGGUCUGGAACUGAACCUGCAAUGUCUCCAAGGUAUGCCUGUAUAAAAUUUUUAGUGGAUUUGAGGUACUAAGAUUUUUACUACAUACUACAUUUGCUACAAAAGAAUAUUCCACAUAUUCUACAAUAAUGAAAAUGAAUCACUGUAAAAUUUCGACAAUAUAAAAUUCUGUUGAUCUCCCACAACAAAAAAUUGACUUUCACUAAUUUUGCUUUAAAUGGCUCAUACUUCAAUUUUGAUGCUUGUUUCAUAAUAAAUGCUAUAAUUUUAAAUGAACAUAUUAAAAGAUGCCACAAAAGAAAAUUUAAUGAUCAGAAUACAAAUAUUACAAAAAAUUACUGUAUUUUAUUUUCACAUAGAUUUUUACAUGUUAUAAUUAAAAACAUUUCUUUCUAUUCUUUGCUCUUAUAAAUUCUUCAAUGAUUUCAUCACAAUUAAGCUUCCGAACAAUAUCUACUUCCAUACAUAACAGGAUAAUGAAUCAAGUCUUUCUUGAAUCACUGUUACAGGCUGAGUGUUUUUUAGUCUCUUUAGGGAUGAAAAUGGGCAGAACACCUGUGCAGUUUGUGAUCAUUAAAGUUAGGAGUAUGCAUAAAGCAGUUUCCACAUUAGGAAAUACGCAUUGUAGUUUAUCUUCUAUUAUGGAAUCAUGCAUGCCUACAUGAGUAAAAUUUGUCUUUUCUGAAUCUGUAAACUUAAUUCUCAUGUAAGAAUGAAAUUGUCACAUUUCUCCAUAAAGGCUUCUAUUUAAGUUAUCAAGAUAAACCUGCACUAAUUUCUUGGAUGCCUUCAUGCAUUCUUCAGUAGGUAUACCGACAUUGUUUAAGAAGGAAAAUCUAUUCGAAAGAGCUUCUUUUUUCAUGUAAGAUUCAAGUGUGUCAAUGAUGGAGCGCUAUGUGCUUAUGAAAAAUUGAUCUCUGACACUAACUGAUACUUCCAGAGCACUUCCAUCACUUGUUUCUUUCUAAUGCUUCUGUGACAGUGAGCUGUUUGAUAGAGUAUUUGGCAGUAUUUCUUUUGUUGUGCUUUCAGACUCUUCAAAGUUUUCUCUUAAAUUAUGUAAAUACUCUAUUAAUGACUGGUAGAGAUCCUUCAUGUCUUUAAAUUUACUUCUAAAUCUUGGACAGCUUGACUUGUCCAAUGAAAAUGCUGUAAUAUAUUAUUCCACAUAACCAACAUAAAUAAUCUAGUGCUUGCAUUUUGUUGGUGAUGUUUUCAGCUUCACUUUUGCUAUUUCCUUUUCGUGUCUGGUCUUCAACGAUAUUUUCUAAGGCACUUAGAAUUUGCGUGUAGGAUUCCAGGAUUGCACUUGUUGCUAUUGCAUGCACUUCACAGUGUGUAUUAGGAAGAAUUUUAAUACUCAAUCAUUUCCUAAAUAUGUUUUAAGAACUGCCCAUUGGUGAGCAGAGGCAGCAAAAAAUGUGUAGAGUAACUGAACAGUAGAAAAAAAAAUCAACUGCUUCUGGACAACAAUCUACUAUACUGCAUCCUACAAGAUUAAGUGACUGCCCAGCACAAGGUAUGAAAAUGGUAUAUCCCUUACAUUCUAAUAUUUUCCGUUGCAUGUCUUUAUAUCACCCUGACAUAUUGGCCGCCUUGUCAUAGGACUUGCCUCUGCACUUAGAAAAAUAAAUUUUUUGACUUUACAUAAACAGCGAAGUGCUUAAUUUGCAAUUUCUUCACUAGUAUGACUUUUUAAGCUAGUAAAUGUGAUAUAUUUCUUGACAAGUUUUCCAUCUGUUGGAGAUAAAAAAAAAAAAAAAAAACAGUGCCGUGGAGCUGAUUCCGUCUCAUAGCGACCCUAUAGGACAGAGUAGAACUGCCCCAUAGAGCCUCCAAGGAGCGCCUGGAGGUUUCGAACUGCUGACCCUUCGGUUAGCAGUGGUAGGACUUAACCACUACGCCACCAGGGUUUCCGUUGGAGAUACAUAUCAUAAAACAAUACUUAGCUGAUCUGUAUUAGAAAUAUCAGGAGUGGGAUCUAACAGACAAAGCGAAAUAUUGAGCUAUACUUAUUUCAUUGAAAAUAGCUGAUUGAACUUCCUCACUUAGUUUAUUAAUUCUUCACAUGUUGUUUUAGACAUAUACAAUGGGUUGUCCUUUACUGUGUUACCAUAUUUUUAUAUGUGACCUGCUAUAAAUGCAUCAAACUGAGCAACAAGUUCAAGUAAACCCCCAAAAUUUCCAUUUAGUAGGGACUCAAACACUUCAUUUCUUCUUCGAUUAUAUAGUCCACAUUCAGCAAUGGUUGUAAUGACAGCAACAAUGGGUUGAAACACUGCUUUCCAAUACUGAUUUCUUCAUUAAUUUAUAUUUCCAGUUCAUGAGUUAAGCCAAAACCAUGUCUUCGGUUCAAAUGUGACAACAUACAAUCUCUGAACUGAAGUAUUUUCAUGUUUAGCAAGCACAUUCGAGUUGCAGUAAUCACAAAAUCCAUCCGUAGCAAAUCUAGAAUUAAAUGAUUUAGGACUGAACAGUUUGCAAACAAAACAAUAUACAGACCCACCUGAUGGAGAAGGCAGUAGUCACUCCCCCUUAUAAUUUUCACCAUUAGCUUUGCACCCUAGAAAUACAUCCUGGCUACAGAAUCCUGUGUGUUUACCAUCCAGAAAUUUUUGACACAAAUUUUCAAAUGGCCCACUGUGAUGUUGACAACCAUGUGGCCCUCUUUUGAUCUGAUAAUUCACAUCAUUUGAAGAAAAAUUACUCCACAAAGCAGGAUCUGUAUUUCUGUAAUUUACGGGGUCUGCAGAUGUGACAAUUUCAGAUUCUAAAAUAUUUUGCUUUCUACACCAUUAUUAAUUUUUUUACUACAGCAAGGAAUGGAUGCAUAAUUUGGAACAAAUUCUGUUAUAUUCAUAUUGCUAUUAGUAAGUUCAGCACUAGUGGUACUAAUACUAUGAUUUGCACCCAUUAAACACAAGCAUUCAAUGGAAGACAUCUCUUCUGAUUGUUUUCAGAAGGAAGUUAAUUUGGGAAUUGUCUUUAGGAAUUCACAAAUCCUUUUCUUUUUAUCUUCUGCAAGCUUUCAUUUUUGUGCCCCACUUAGUUGUUGCCAUUUAAUUUUACCUGGAUAUAAGAUUAUGUCACUUCAAUAUUCUACAUCCUAGUUCAGUGAGUGGCCAUCUAAGAUACAACUAUUGGUCUUUGCUCAUCUGGAGCAAAAAAGAAGAAAACCAAAGACUCAAAGAAGAAACUAGUCUACAGAACCAAUAGUCUACACAAACAACAUCAACUACUUUAAGACCGGAAGAGCCAGAUGGGACGCAGCUACCACUACCGACCGUUCCGACCAGGGACUCAAUAGAUGGCCCUGGAUAGAAUGGGAGAAAAAUGUAGAACAAAUCUCAAAUUUCUAAAAAAAAAAAAAAAAAAAGCCAAACUUACUGGACCAAUAAAACCUAGAUGAACCCUUGAGACUAUCACCUUAAGAUACUUUUUAAUCUUGGAACUCAAACAACUCCCAGAGGUCACCUUACAGUCAAAUGACAGAUUGGCCCUUAAAAUAAAUAUCAUCCAUGUGUACUGUGCUCCUCAAAAUAAUCAUCUAAAUGAAACUAGAUAGUAAACAUUUAUCCUAGAUCAAAGAUGAGAAGACAAGGGGAGACAGGGAAGCUAGAUUAGUAGAAACAGAACAACCAGAAUAGAAAUAAUAAGAAUACUGAUAUAUUAUGAAAAAUGUAACCAACGUCACUGAACAAUACGUAUAAAAAAAAAAAGUAUAGAAAUUAUUAAAUGCAAACUUAAUUUCCUGUGUAAAUUUUCACCAAAAACACAAUAAAAUAUUUUUAUUUAUGUCACUUUUUAAAUCUGAUUCUACCAUAAUAAAUUUGAAAAACUGAAAAUAAAUAAAAUUUAUUUAAAAAGUAAAACUUACAAAAUAAAAUUUACAUUUGAAUUUGGGUGUUAACACAAAAAUUUAUAUUCGAAAAUUAGUAAGUAAAAAAAUUUGAUUUGGAACAUGUAGUUUCUGUUCUUCAGGUCUGAGAUAGUCAAAAGAAAUAAUACUUACAAAGCAGUCUGAAAUAAUUUCAUUCACUUAUCACAGGAUGUUUGUUGGCGGGCCCUUUGCAGAUCUUCACAAAUGUUUUUAGUCUUAAAAUAAUACUUAAAAACUUACACGCUUGCCUUCUGUCCUUUCAUGCUGUGUCUUUGCAAUGCAUUGGACUAUUGCUGAUACCCAACAGUAGUGAGAGCAAUCGCAAAGAACAUGAUACAAAUACAAGGUUAUUAUGCUCAAUCUCAAGAUGUAUUUUAGUUCACUUUGUGCAGGAUGAGAUAUGUCACAAGUCAUGUGAUUAUAGUGGCGCUAGCAUGUUCUUAUGUGGUCAACGAAAGAGAACUGAAUGUAAGGUUAUACCCGAUCAGUCGAUUUGAAAAGGAAAAUAUAAUUGUUAUCAUAUACAAAAUUUACAAAAUGGUAUCAAUUUCAUUUAGUGCCUUGCCAGUUCCCUUCCACUAUGGCACUCACUUUUCCUUGUGCCUGUCUGCUUGGCAUCUAUGGGUCUUUGCUUUGGACAACUGGUGCCCUGUUUUGUUGAUGCCCCAAGCACAUGCUUACUUUGCUUAUUGAUUCAUCCCUGUGCAUGGCUCAUGCCCUCACCCCCUACAAGACUUAAGCUCAAAUAACAUCUUCUCAGUGAGGACACCCUGUUAAAACUGCAACCUUCCCAACCACCCUAACUCCUACUCCUGCUUUAUUUUUCUCCUUAGCAUUUAUUGUCAUCUAAAAAAAAGUAAAUAAAUAAAUAAGGAGCCCUGGUGGCACUCCACAGGAGAGAGAUAUGGCUGUCUGCUUCCAUAAAGACUACACCCUUAAAAACUCUAUGGGGCAGUUCUCCUCUGUCUGAUAUGGUCACUAUGAGUCACGACUGACUCCACACAAGGGGAAACACUACAUAUUUUUGUUAUUACUCUCCUCCCUCAUUAGAAUGUAAACUCCAUGAGAGUAAGGAUCUUGUGUAUUGCCCACAGCUACAGUGCCUAGAACAAUGCUUAGCACAAAGUAAGAACUCAAUAAAUAUUUGUUGAAUGAACAAAUGAAUCUUAUUCAGUCUCAUGACUUUAAAAUGCCACUUAUAUGCUGAGAACUUUUAUUUCCCUCAUCCUGUUUCGUCCAUUUAGCUUUUAACCUUUUAUACCCAUUGGCCUGUUUGACAUGGAUGUCCAACAUUGUCAUUCUGUGUCAUUGAGUUGAUUUCAACUCAUGGCAACCCCAUGUGACACAGUAGGACUACCCCCACAGGGUUUCCUAGGCUGUAAUUUUUACAGCAGCACAUUGCCAGAUCUUUCUUCUACGGAGCCACUGGAUGGUUUUGAACUGCCAGCCUUUCAGUUAGCAGCCGGGUGCUUAACCAUUGCACCAUCAGGGCUCCUUAUGGAUGUCUAAUAAGCCAGCCAAACCAAACCCGUUGACUUCAAGUCAAUCCUGACUCAUAACCACACUAUAGGACACAGUAGAACUGCCCCAAAGGGUUUCCAAGGAGCACCUGGCGGAUUCAAACUUCCACCCUUUUGAUUAGUGGCCGAACUCUUAACAACUGAGCCACCAGGGCUCCAUGGAUGUCUAAUAGUUAUAUUGAAUUUAACAUGUGGAAAACUGAAUUCUUGAUUCUAUUCACUCUUCUUCCCAACAACUUCUCCACCAGUGUUUGCAGUCUUGGAAGAGGUCAAUACCAGCAUUCAGGAGUUACUCAGGUUAAAAAACAAAAUGCCAAAUUGGCAACAUCCUUGAUUCCCCUCUUUCUUUCCCAUCUCACAGUCAAUCCGUCAGCAGUUCCUCUGGGACCUACUUUCUAAAGGUCUGGAAUCUGACUGUUCUAACCCACUCCACUGCUAUCACCCUGGUCCUAGCCACCACUGUCUACCUCUUGGAUCACUGAGCAAGCCCUCAACUGGUCUCUGCUUCCACUUCUGCUCUCAUAGCAGCCAAAGGGAAUCUUCUAUAAUGUACUGGGAUUAUGUCAGCUGCAGUCACUGCCCUGCUCCCCACUUCCCAAUGAAUUCCCAGGGCACGUGGAAUAAAAUCCAGCCCUGCAUGGUCGGGCUGCUGCCUCCUUCUCCAACUUCAUCUCUUUCUACUUUUCCCCUCAUUCAUCAUGCUCCAGCUACGGUGGUCUCCCUGCUGUUCCUCAAACCCAGCAAAGACAGCUCCCACCCCAGGUCUUUAACCCCACCUCUAACUCCCCGUCCCCUUCCCCCCCCACCACCACCACCCACAUAUUCAUAUGGCUGAAGCCUUCACUACCUUCAGGUCUCUGCUUACUUACAACUCCUCAGAGAGGCUUUCCCUGACCAUCUAGCCAAAAGUGUACCCAUCACUCUCAGUUCCCCUACCUUGUUUUAGUUUUUUUUUCCAUAUUACUUAUCUCUCUCUUACAUUGUUUAUUUAUUCAUUUGGUUUCUUGUCUGUCUUUCUCAUUAGAAUGUAAGUUCCAAUUGGAAACGAUGAGCCUUGGUGGCACAAUGGUUAAGUGCUCAGCUGCUAACCAAAAGGUCAGCAGUUUGAACCCAUCAGCCUUCUGUGGGAGAAAGAUGUGGCAGUCUGCUUCUGCAAAGAUUACACAUGGGCAGUUCUACUCUGUCCUUAGGGUCACUGUGAGUCGGAAUUGACUGGACGGCAAUGAGUUUUCAGGAGAGAGUUGAGGAGUCAGUUUUGGCUCUGCCACUUAUUGGCUGUGUAACCUUGGGCAAGAUUAUUCAUCUCUCUGAGCCUCAGUCUCUUCAUCUACAGGCUGACAGAAACAGGACAACAAACAUGCCUGUUUGAGGUGGUGUGAGGAUAUGAGAAUGGAUGCCAAGUGUUUAGAAUAAUGCCUGACAGUAGUUAAGUAUUCAGUAAAACAGCUCUUGAUAAUAAUUCAGAGAUCCCUAUAUUGGCACUGAAUGCUUCUGACAUUUAUUUCUGGUAGGGUGUGUGUGUGUUUGGCUUAAAUUGCAGGUAAAAGGAUUCCAUUGUGAUUCACUUUUACACUCCUAGUUCCCAGUACAGUUUCUGGCCUAUAGCAGGCAGCAGCAAAUUCUUCUAAAUUAAUGAGAAUUAGUCAAAUGGUGACUAUUUAGGAGAUAGAAAGUUAAAAUGAUGGAUUGCAAUAUAGUCUAGGACACAGGAAUGAGGUUUAUAGAAAAAAAAUAACAGCAGAGUGGUUAAAGCGCGUGCUUUACUACUGGCUUCUCUACUUACUGGGUAACCUUAGGUGUAUUCGUUAACAUUUCAGUACUUCAGAUUCCUCAUCUAUAAAACAACAGUACAACCGUGAUAGGGUUGUUGAGAGGAUGAAAUGAGAAUGCAAUUGAGAAGCUGAGUGCUAGGACUGGCAUGGAGUAAGCAUUCAAUAAGAUUAACCACUACUACAAAAUUGUUAUCUUUUGCUGAAUAGCGAUCCUUCCCACCCCCUAAAUUUAUUGGCUUAAAACAGCAACAUGUAUUGUUUUGUAGGUUGACUGCGAGAGUCUUCUGUUGUUCUCACCUGAUCACUUAUGUGCUUAUUUGGCAGAUAGAUUAGCAUUGGAUAAUCCACAUGUCUGGAGGUUCUGGCUAUCGGCUGAACCUACUCUCCAGAUGGCCAGCCCAGGCUUCUUCACACUACAGUAGUCUCAGGACAGCAAGAACAGGAGCUGCAGGAUCUCAUGAGGCCUAGGUUCAGAAGGGAUGCAGCAUUUUUUAACUCACAUUCUACUACUGGAGAGCUGUGUUUGUGGGAGUCUGUGACCUUAAUACCUCACAACAUGUUUUCUCCUUUUCAAAAUGGGCAAUUGAGAGCCUGACAUAACUAACACCAUAAUGAUACUCUAAGUAACCUACAAGUGUUUUUUUUGUUUGUUUGUUUUUUUAAUUGCACCAGCUGCACUGAUCUCUUUCCAAAGUGGUACAGGGCCUUCUCAGCUCUUGCAGCAUUGGUCUCUCUCCUCUUCUCUGUUCUUUUGGGAGAUGGCCUUCAGCCUGCAAAACAGCAGCUAGGAAGGCUGUCUCGUGCUUUUGGUCUGCAACUUUCUUUCUUGCUCCUUAUCUCAGUCAGAGUGGACUUGGUAGUCCAAUUCCACUAGCUGAGCAACUUUUAUAUAAGUUUUUUUUUUUUUUUGCCUGUUACAAACAUAAAGACUAGAGUCCAGAUGUCUGGCAUGCAUAUCUUUAGUUUAAUAAAGUUUCUUUUAGCUGUUUUGUGAUGCAUAUGCCCAUCUGUGGGCUACAUGUUUGAAAACAUUAGGUAAUCCUUGCCAAAAUGAUACAUAAGCUCUGAUGUAAAAAUUGCUUUUCAGGACUCCAUAAAGACAGCCUGCGUUGCUGCCAGACUGCCCGUUGGUGUCACCUCCUAAUAAACUUUGUCUCUCUUUCUGGCUUGGAGUAUGUUUCAUCGGUUUAACUGCUCCAGGGCACAGACCCCAACUGGAUAACAAGUUUUGGCGCCCAACAUGAAUGGGGCUCAAAUUACUCCAGCCCUGGCUCCAUCUCCCUAAGGACUGGGCCCCAGGAAGGACCCAGGAAGAGAGAAGGUGCACCCCUCCUUAGCUUGUGGAGGUCUCUCAACCUGUGGUGGCCCAGAGGUCCAGCGACAGGGGAGGACUCCACAGCAGCAAGCUCAUAGACAAAGUUUCUGUUGGCCACAGUAGGUAACUGAGCAUCGGGUGGUCAAUCCUCUGUAAAAGUCACAGAGGCGUCGGUUCUCAUAGACUCCCUCCAAGAAUGGUGAGGUUGGACGAGAGACCAGUGAGGUUCCCCGAUGCAAAUGGGUACCCAGGGAAGUAAGGUUCCAGCCGAGAGUCCGCUAGGUCUUAUUCUUUCUAACUGGAUUUAUUUUGGAGUGGAUUCCCUAAGAGAUAUCUUAAAAUUUUUGUGUAAUCAGGUGUGGCCUCAGUACCAACUCCUCGAUGGGGUCAGAUGACCUAUGAAUGGUUCUCAGGAUUCUGACACUAUUCUGCAGCUUGAUCUGUUUUGUACUCGAACUAACAAGAUGAAAGGCUGUAUGAAGAAUGUUUUAUGACAUUAUCGCAUGACAAAAAGGAUAAAGCUUCUGUUUUAGCCCCUCCAGUGCAGGCCAAAGAUGAAGAUGAAGAAAGAGAUGAAGAACCAGUUAAUGUUCUUCUCAUUCCCCCACCUCUCAGCACCUAUUCGUGAUCCUCCCUGGUGGUAUAAGAGGAUGAGGAUGGGAAGGCAGUAAAGCGGGUUAGAGAAGGUGGGAAAAAUUUGGUCUCCCCGCCUCACACUAGAAGUGGGGCUCAGUUCGACCUAGCUCCCCUGGGACAGCUUUACCCACUCCAUGAGGUGCCAGUGCCUGCAGCUGAAGGGCCACCUCAGAUGAUGGGGGUCCGUAAUCCAGUCCCAGCUUCUGAUUUGCACAAUUGGAAAUGAAACCUCUUUGUGUAUCAGUCAGACCCACAUGCCAUGACUGCACAUUUUUCCCACAUUUUUGCUACCCACCAUCCUAAAUGGGCUGAUUGACAGACUUUAUUAGAUGCACUCCUCACAGCCAAAGAAAGAUGGAUGGUCUUAGCAAAAGCAAAAGCCAAGGACAUGAAGAAACAGGCCAAUCCACUCGCCACUGCUCUGGAAUCCUCUAGAGGAAAACAACGAGACCAAGUGUUAGCAAUCCAAAGACUCGUGGGCCCAGGAUUUCCAGCCCUCAAGGAACAAGACUCUUUCCAGGUGAAAUAUGUUGCAUCGGGCAGUGUGGGUCUGGCAGAAGUUCCCUUUCAGGACAGCUGUACACUCUUUCCAGCCCAGCAAUCAGGUGCUUCUUGGAUGUAGAAGGAUCUCCCCUUAGAGCCCAAGUGGACUGGACCCUUCACCGUACUACUCAGCACUCAUACAGCCAUGAAACUUGCAGGAGUUAAACCAUGGAUCCAUCGUUCCCACAUCAAGCCCUGCCCGGCCUACAGUGGCAAGAAGGAGUGAAAAGCCCAACCCAUCAACAGCCUGAACUUAAGACUUUCUAGGGUUAAAAAUGAGUUGGAAUCGACUCGACGGCACUGGGUUUGAUUUUGGUUUUUUUAGGGUUAAAAAGUAAAAAUGUUUGUAAUACUAGCUUGGAUGAGAUUACUAUUAGGUACCAGAGAGAGUUCCGUCCAGAGAAUCUCUACACCCGAAGUACCUCCCCACCCCUGAUCCCUUGUUAAGAAGUGAAAAUUUUUUGAUCUAUAUUGCUAGAGAAGCGUUAAACAUUACUGACUUCUGUCUGGACGGGGGGUUGUGUGCCAACUCUGCCCUCAAGUCCUGUCUCAUUGGGGUUUGUACUCCUCUAGAGGCUUUGAGAAAUUUUACCAUUUUUAAGCACAUGAAGAAAGAGUUACAAUAUUCUGAUAGUUGGGGGCCCAUUACAAGAUUCAAAGACAGAGAGAUGUAUACACUUCAGGUUUCCUUGGUGACUAAUGCCUCUCACUGUGUGAUAUUCUCAAAAUGUCAAACAAGCUGUGUUGAUUUAGGAAGAAACAACCAUAUGAAUCGUGGUUUCAUUGACAGAGUGACAUACCCAACUGCUCAUGUUAAGCUUCCUUCAGGCUGGUUCCUGCUCUGUGAAACAACUGCUUAUUCUUAUAUCCCUGCUAAUGCUACCAAUGGGCCCUGUUCAAUGGAACAUUUGACUAUGAACUUGCCUCAAAAGAGAUUCCUCUGAAAUAGGGUCACUAGAGAACUUGUCCUAGAUGCAAUCUGUGAUGAUAAUCUACACUUGUUAAGUAAAAGCUGAAUAUAUCUCCCUUGCAAAAAUCUUGGUUGGUAUCCCAGGUUUAACCAUUAGAGCUUAUCGAAUACCACAUCACAAGCCAUAGAUGCUAUUAGCCAGGAAUGGUCGGGGAAACUGUUUUAGAAAAUAGAGCUACCUUAGGCUACUUGUUUCUACGACACAACCACGGGUGUCAAGAGUUCAAAGGAAUGUGCUGUUUCAACAUUACUGAUAAUUCUGAACUCACUGAACAAAAAGUAAAUUAUGUAAAAGACGAGCUACAAAAAGUAAGAUUCAAGAAGGAUUUGUUUUUCUUGGAUGACAUCUUGGCUGCCCGAUCUUAACUGGCUAAAAACCUUACUCAUCAGUAGAAUCAGAUUGGUUGUUACAGGCCUAUUAAUCUGUUGCUGUCUCCAAUUUAUGCCUAUAUGUGGGAUGGCAUUCCCUGUCCCAAAUCAGACCGUCCAGUGGAUGGCUCAAACCCAUCACACAUGGGAGGCCCAAUCCUUCUGCUUGAGGCAUUUUGAUCUGAGGGACUAGGCUGAAACUUGGGAUAGAUAUAUAUGGCCACCCAUGCUUCAUAAGGGGGGAAUAUAGAGGCGGGGCCAAGAUGGCAGAGUAGUCAAACACUUCCUGUGGUCCCUCUUACAACAAAGAACUGAAAAAAACAGGUGAAGUGAUUAUAUUUGACACGCUAGGAGCCCUGAACAUCAUAGGCAAAGUUGUGAAAUCGGACUGAGUGGCAGGGGGAGGGAGAAAUAAUUCAGAAGCAGCAAGGAGUUGCCAGACCUGACCUGGCAGUAACCAGCACCCUGGAGGCCGAUUCUGCUGGCACGACUGCUGUGAGGCAACCAGUGGUGUUCAGGAUGUUUUUCCGCAUCGGGAGAAAAUGAGUGGCAGAGAGCGCAACCCUCCAGGACAAGAAAAAAAAAAAAGCGGUCCUCAAUUGGCAAAUAGAUAAGUACCUGCAUUUAACCUACCUUGCGGAUCCAAAAAUACACCAUUGGAAAAAACCUCUCUCCCAUUUACCUACUCUCUUCCCGCUCUGCACCGGGUCCCAGCCGGCUGCAUCCCUUGGGCCAGAAGAAGGACCCUGCACUUGCCCUGGUCCAUCCUUCCAGUCUUGGAGAGGGAACAAAUUAACAAAUAGGGAAAAAAUAAUCCAUCAGCUCCCCUAAGCCAGGAACUCAGGGCAGAAACAGCUCCUUUGCCUAAGCACAGGUAUAAGGGGCCCACAGACUUUGAAUGCCUUUCACUCCUGCAUGGACCUGUGUGGGCCCAUUUCAACAGUGUAGGACCUCAUUAGCACAGUACAACAGGCUAUAUAUCUGAAGUCUGACUUUGAAAAUUUCAGCUACAUAGUGAAGAGGCAGAUUUGUGAUGUUUGACACCACCUGCCUAUUAGGCAGGGUUCUCACCUAUGCACAACAGGGGCCUAAGGACUGGUGGCUCCACUCAUGACACCUAGCCACCCAUGACAGGGGUCAAAGAAUAAGUGGUGACUCCUAGUCCUUACAGCCAGCAGCACUGGGUGCCUACAGCCGGGCUGCAAAACAUACCCACCUAUGUGUUCUAGGGAACAAGGACACACUUUCCUCACAGACACUCAGGGCAGUUGUCAGCCCCCAGCCUUACUCAGAGUGUGGUCCUCUACUGCGCCCAGAUACCUGUGCCUACACCAAUCACCCCUGCUCAUCUAGGACUGUAGGUGAGAGCCUCUACCGCACACGUGGUGACUGACUACCUGGACACAAAAGCUGAAUCCAUACAAGAAAAGUGAAUGGACUCGUGCACUCACAUACCUAGUAACAGCUCUAACCACCUGGCAACAGGAUGUUAGAGCUUCAGAGGCACCAAUAAUCAAACUAUCUCACGAGCAGCCUAUUUGGGCAUAUCAAAACAAAACAAGAAGCUAGGAUACAAUUCCACCCAGUGCCAUCUAGCCAUCAAUAAAUACUAUAUUUAUUUAUUUUAUGUUUGCUUAUUAGGAUACAAUAAGCAAACAUAAAAUAAAUAAAUAUAGUAACUUAUUGAUGGCUCGGACACAACAGUCAAUAUCAAAUCACAUAAACAGGCAGACCAUGAUAGCUUCAGCAAGCUCCCAAAACAAAGGAUCAAGAAAUCUUUCAGAUGAAGAGAACUUCCUGGGAUAACAAAAGGUGGAAUACAAAAGAUUAAUAUACAGAACACUUCAAGAGAUUAGGAAGGAGAUCAGGCAAAAAGCAGAACAAGCCAAGCAGCACACAGAUAAAGCAUUAGAAGAACCUAAGCAGAUUAGAAAAGAGUACAAUGACAAAUUUAAUAGCCUGCAAGAAUCCACAGAGAGACAACAAGCAGAAAUUCAGAAGAUCAACAACAAAAUUUCAGAAUUAGAUAAUUCCAUAGAAAGUCAUAAAAGCAGAAUUGAGGCAACAGAUGUCAAAAUCAGCGACACUGAAGAUAAAGCACUUGGCCUCAACAUAUUUGAGGAAAGAUCAGAUGAAAGAAUUUUUUUAAAAAUGAAGAAACUCUAAGAAUUAUGUGGGACUCUACCAAGAGGAAUAACCUACCAGUUAUUGGAGUGCCAGAACAUGGGAGGAUAACAGAAAAUACAAAGAGAGUUGUUGAAUAUUUGCUGGCAGAACACUUCCCUGAUAUCAUGAAAGACGAGAUGAUAUAUAUCUAAGAUGCUCAUCAAACCCCACACAAGGUAGACCCCAUAAGAAAGUCACCAAGACAUAUUAUAGUCAAACUUUUCAAAACCAAAAAUAAAGAGAGAAUUUUAAGAAUGGCUAGGGAUAAACAAAAAGUCGCCUACAAAAGAAAGUCAAUAAGAACAAGCUCAGACUACUUGGCAGAAACCAUGCAGGCAAGAAGGCAAUGGGAUGACAUACAUAAAGCCUUGAAGGAAAAAAAAUUGCCAGCCAAGAAUUAUACACCCAGUAAAACUGUCUCUCAAAUAUGAUGGUGAAAUUGGGACAUUUCCAGACAAAGAGAAGUUUAGGGAAUUUGCAAAAACCAAACCAAAAUUAAAAGAAAUACGAAAGGGAGUCCUCUGGUUAGAAAGUCAACAACAUUAGAAAAGAACCCACAACUAGAACACAGGACAGAGCAAAGAGAUAUCAACCCAGGUAAGGAAAUCACAAAAAUAAAUCAAGAUAUUAAAAAAAAAAAAAGGGAAAUAGAGGCAUCAUUAUGUAAAAGAUGACAACAUUAAAACAAAAAAAAAAAGAGGAACUGAAAAAUGUACUCAUAAAUCCUUCAUAUGGAGAGGAAGUUAAGGCGGUACAAAGAAAUAAAAGAUUGUUUUCAACUUAGAAAAAUAGGGGUAAAUAUUAAAGUAACCACAAAGGAAACUAACAAUCCUACACAUAAAAAUAAAAAACAAGAAAAACAUAAAGACUUAGCAAAAACAAAACCAAAAACAAUGAAAAAGAGGAAAAGACAAUUUAUAAAGAAAAAAGACUAAGCACAGAAAAUGAAGUGGAACAAAGAAACUGUCAACAGCACAAAAAAAAAAAAUCAAACUGACAGCACUAAACUCAUACCUAUCAAUAAUUACACUGAAUGUAAAUGGUCUAAAUGCACCAAUAAAGAGACAGAGUGUGGCAGAAUGGAUUUAAAAACAUAAUAUGUCUAUAUGCUGCCUACAAGAAACACACCUUAGACUUAAAGACGCAAACAAACUAAAACUCAAAGGAUGGAAAAAAAUACAUCAAGCAAACAACAAUCGAAAAAGAGCAGGACUAGAAGUCCUAGCCAGAGCAAUUAGGCUAGAUAAAGAAAUAACGGGCAUUCAGAUUGGCAAGAAAGAAGUAAAAGUAUCUCUAUUUGCAGAUGACAUGAUCUUAUACACAGAAAACCCUAAGGAAUCCUCCAGAAAACUACUGAAACUAAGAGUUCAGCAGAGUAUCGGGAUACAAGACAAACAUAUAAAAAUCAGUUGGAAUCCUCUACACCAACAAAAAGAACAUUGAAGAGGAAAUCACCAAAUCAAUGCCAUUUACAGUAGCCCCACAAAAGAUAAAAUACUUAGGAAUAAAUCUUACCAGAGAUGUAAAAGACUUAUACAAAGAAAACUACAGUACACUUCUGCAAGAAACCAAAAGAGACUUACAUAAGUGGAAGAACAUACCUUGCUCAUGGACAGGAAGACUUAACAUUAUAAAAAUGUCUAUUCUACCAAAAGCGAUCUAUACAUUUAAUGCAAUUCCGAUCCAAAUCCCAACAACAUUCUUUAAUGAGAUGGAGAAACAAAUCACCAACUUCAUAUGGAAGGGGAAGAGGCCCAGGGUAAAUAAGGCAUCAUUGAAAAAGAAGAACAAAGUGGGAGGUCUUACUUUACCCGAUUUUAGAACCUAUUAUACCUCCAUAGUAGUCAAAACAGCCUGGUACUGGUACAACAACAGAUAUGUAGACCAAUGGAACAGAACUGAGAAUCCAGACAUAAAUCCAUCCACAUACGAACAGUUGAUAUUUGACAAAGGCCCCAAAACAGUUAAAUGGGGAAAAGACAGUCUUUUUAACAAAUGGUGCUGGCAUAACUGGAUAUACAUCUGCAAAAAAAUGAAACAAGACGCAUACCUCGCACCAUGCACAAAAACUAACUCAAAAUGGAUCGAAGACCUAAAUAUAAAAUCUAAAACGAUAAAGAUCAUGGAAGAAAAUAUAGGGACAACAUUAGGAGCCCUAAUACAUGGCAUAAACAGUAUAGAAAACAUUGUAAAGAAGAUAGAAGAAAAACUAGAUAACUGGGAGCUCCUAAAAAUCAAACACUUAUGCUCAUCCGAAGACUUCACCAAAAGAGUAAAAAGACUACCUACAGACUGGGAAAAAGUUUUUAGCUAUGACAUUUCUGAUCAGCACCUGAUCUCUAAAAUCUACAUGAUACUGCAAAAAGACAAAUAACCCAAUUAAAAAAUGGGCAAAAGAUAUGAAUAGACACUUCACUAAAGAAGACAUUCAGG